AAGAAACUGUAGCAUUUAUUGCUACCCCGUAAGUGUUUUAUUUGAUGCGCCUAUGUAUCUUUAUAACUCCCUAACGCUUCGACGUGUCGGCGCAGGCCGAACGACCAACGGGACGGAGAGAUAAGCGAAACUCGUAAUAGUAAAAUCAGUUGGUUAAAGAACAUCCGCUCUGAUACGUGAGCUGCUGCUAUUUGUAGACGAACUCUGGGAAAAUAAUGGACUGAAAUUAAAUAUAUUACAUACCACCAGUAAACUAAACAUCAGGAAACUCAACAGACAAUCUCCAAAGUAAAAAAAAAACAAGAAUUCAAGAAAUUAUAACAUAAAUUAUACCACGUGGUCACGUAUCAGAGAUCCCAGGGUUCGUUUUACAUUCUACAUCAUAUUUCCAUUCCACCCAUAAUAUGGAUACUUAGCUGGAUUUUUUUAUGGUUAAAUAUACCUUAUAUAACUAAUUUGGAUACUUAGUUGGAUUUUUUUUAUGGAUAAAUAAAUGGAUAAACAUACUUUAUAUAACUAAUAGUAGGACAUCAUAAACCAUUACCGACCCGUUUCACCAAAUACAUCCACAGAACCUCUCAACUUCAGACCGCUCCACACAGAUGUUAUAGUGCCCAGAGAUUUCCCAAAUCUAGUGGACCUUCCUAUGAAUAUACCCAGGAGUUGCAAAAGAUAAGAGUUUUUUUUCUUUAUUUCAAUUCAUACCUAUAAAUAUUUUGGUUUUUACUCUACAGUAAUAAAUUUGUGUAAACUGUUUAUAUGCAUAUAACAGGUACCUAUACUACACUAUAUACAUAGGUUUUUGAAGUAGGAUUUUAAAUAAAGUUAGGUAAUGGUAAAUAAUAAAUAAAUAUUCAAAUAAAAUAAAUUAAUUGAUAAGGGAAAUGGGAAUUACGACAUAUAUAAAGAUUGUCGAUAGGUUUUAAAUAAUAUUUCUGGAUAAUUCUUUAACCAAACUCAUUUUGUUAGUUUUAUAUAGCUUCCAGCAUCUAUGUUUACUUAGGUAUAGUACUUAGACAUAGAUCUGGUAUUUCGAUUGUUUCGGACACUUAAUAGUUCGAUUGGUGAGUACGUCACCCUUUAAGUCUCUGCUAGAUAAGGUAUUAAACUUUUUUUGUGUAACCAUUAGUUGUUCUAGUAUUAAUUAUACCUUAUCUAGUCUAGGAUCAAUUAAUAUUAGUAUACUAACCAUAGUAUAGGAUUUUGCUACGCUUACGGACACUGACCUGGUUUUCGUUAUUGAUAUUUUUAUAUUGCGCAAUAGCGGUGGUAAUUUACUUGGCGUAACCCUUUGGGUUCUGGAUUGUUAUUUUUCUCAACUCCACCACUAUUGUUUAUCUCACAUGUUUUAUAAGUAUCAUGGAUACAUUGUAAGUUGUGAAAUAUUAUAAAUAUAUUUGUUCUUAGUAA